AAGGAAUAUUGGGCAAUGGACGCAAGUCUGACCCAGCCAUGCCGCGUGCAGGAUGACGGCCCUAUGGGUUGUAAACUGCUUUUGUACGGGAAGAACCCCUUCGAUUCUUCGGAGGCUGACGGUACUGUACGAAUAAGCAUCGGCUAACUCCGUGCCAGCAGCCGCGGUAAUACGGAGGAUGCAAGCGUUAUCCGGAUUUAUUGGGUUUAAAGGGUGCGCAGGCGGAAUGGUAAGUCAGUGGUGAAAUCUCCCGGCUCAACCGGGAAACUGCCGUUGAUACUGCCGUUCUAGAGUACAGUUGGGGUGGGCGGAAUGUGUCAUGUAGCGGUGAAAUGCUUAGAUAUGACACAGAACACCGAUCGCGAAGGUAGCUCACCAAGUUGUAACUGACGCUCAUGCACGAAAGCGUGGGGAUCAAACAG
rnacentral:rRNA from 1 species